CCAAUAGCGUAUAUUAAAGUUGUUGCAGUUAAAAAGCUCGUAGUUGAAUUUCGGGAUCAAUGUUUCGGUCAUGCCGUUGGUAUGUACUGAUAUUAUUGAUUUCUCACCUUCUAAAGAACCGUAAUGCCAUUAAUUUGGUGUCACGGGGAAUUAGGACUGUUACCUUGAAAAAAUUAGAGUGUUUAAAGCAGGCACACGCUUGAAUACAUUAGCAUGGAAUAAUGAAAUAGGACAUCCGAUUCUAUUUUGUUGGUUUCUAGGAUCGAUGUAAUGAUUAAUAGGGAUAGUUGGGGGCAUUAGUAUUCAAUUGUCAGAGGUGAAAUUCUUGGAUUUAUUGAAGACUAACUACUGCGAAAGCAUUUGCCAAGGAUGUUUUCAUUAAUCAAGAACGAAAGUUAGGGGAUCGAAGACGAUCAGAUACCGUCGUAGUCUUAACCAUAAACUAUGCCGACUAGGGAUCGGAUGAUGUUAAUUUUUUAAUGACUCAUUCGGCGCCUUACG
rnacentral:rRNA from 1 species